rnacentral:snoRNA from 1 species
GGGUUGAUGAUGACACCCCAAAUAAUAUUCCUUGGAAAAGCUGAGAUGAGUGAAAACUCUAAGGAUGAAAAAACU